CCCCACACCUCCCUGAUGUCCCACAUCCCCCCGAUGUCCCCACAUCCCCCGGUGUCCCCCCGGCCGAUGCCACUCACGCAGGUGAAGAGCAGCGCCCCAAGGGAGGCGUAGACGAUGUCGACGAUGCGGUUGCGGAGGAAGAUGCAGAGGAUGGAGAAGAGGAUGAGGACCACGAGGCAGACCAGCAGCACGCCGCGGCACGACGUGAAGUCGUACUUGGUCUGGGGGGCAGGGGGGGUCAGGAGGGCACCCAGUUGGUCCUCCAGCAUCCAACCGGGACCUCCAACACCCAACCGGGACCCCCAACACCCAACCAGGACCCCCAACGCGCAACUGGGACCCGCAGCACACAACCAGGACCUCCAACACCCAACCAGGACCUCCAACACCCAACUGGGACCUCCAACACCCAACUGGGACCUCCAACAGUCAACCAGAACCCCCAACACCUAACCAGGACCUCCAACACCCAACCAGGACCCCCCAGCACCCAACUGGGACCCCCAGCACCCAAUGAGGACCUCCAACACCCAACCAGAACCCCCAACACUCAACCAGGAUCCCCAGCACCCAACCAGGACCUCCAACACCCAACUGAAACCCCCAACACCCAACCAGGACCCCUGGCACCCUACCAGAACCCCCUGGCACCCAACCGGGACCCCCAGCAUCCAAUGAGGACCUCCAACACCCAACAGAACCCCCAACACCCAACCAGGACCUCCAACACCCAACCGGGACCUCCAACACCGAACCACAACCCCCAACACCCAACCAGGACCUCCAACACCCAACCGGGACCUCCAACACCCAACUGGGACCUCCAACACCGAACCACAACCCCCAACACCCAACCAGGACCUCCAACACCCAACCAGGACCCCCAACACCCAACUGGGACCUCCAACACCCAACCAGAACCCCCAACACCUAUCCAGGACCUCCAACACCCAACCAGGAACCACCAGCACCCAACCGGGACCCCCAGCACCCAAAUGAGGACCUCCAACACCCAACAGAACCCCCAACACCUAUCCAGGACCUCCAACACCCAACCAGGACCUCCAACACCCAACCAGGACCCCCAGCACCCAACCACGAUGCCCAGCACCCAACCGGGACCCCCAACACCCAACCGUGCCCCCCGGUACCAACCGGGAAC
rnacentral:lncRNA from 1 species